rnacentral:rRNA from 1 species
UAAUGAUGGCCAGGCUGUCUCCACCCGAGACUCAGUGAAAUUGAACUCGCUGUGAAGAUGCAGUGUACCCGCGGCAAGACGGAAAGACCCCGUGAACCUUUACUAUAGCUUGACACUGAACAUUGAGCCUUGAUGUGUAGGAUAGGUGGGAGGCUUUGAAGCGUGGACGCCAGUCUGCGUGGAGCCAACCUUGAAAUACCACCCUUUAAUGUUUGAUGUUCUAACGUUGGCCCCUUACCGGGGUUGCGGACAGUGUCUGGUGGGUAGUUUGACUGGGGCGGUCUCCUCCCAAAGCGUAACGGAGGAGCACGAAGGUUAGCUAAUCCUGGUCGGACAUCAGGAGGUUAGUGCAAUGGCAUAAGCUAGCUUGACUGCGAGCGUGACGGCGCGAGCAGGUGCGAAAGCAGGUCAUAGUGAUCCGGUGGUUCUGAAUGGAAGGGCCAUCGCUCAACGGAUAAAAGGUACUCCG